GGAGGCCCUGAUUUGUCUCCUCGAGUCUAUUCUUUUGAAGCGGAAAGGAGAUCCAAUUUCUUUAUCGAGUCAACCGACCAUUGAAAAUCGACGUACAGGUCCCGGAGUCGAGAAAAAAUAUUGAAGCAGAUUAGAGAAUUGAAAGAUUGGGCCAAAGGCCCACUUUUAAAUUCCAAAAUUUGUAUUUUGUUAUCUAUUGGGGCCUAAGCCCAUUUAGUUGCUAUUCUUAUUUUGUUAGAAGCUUAAGACAGGUGAAAAAUUGGGCCUAAAACCCAAAGAAAAAACAAAUAUUUCUUUAACGAUAGUAUAGGACAGGUGCAGGUGGCUCAAAUGGGCCGAAGGCCCAAUAUGAAAAUGGGCCCAAGUGCCGGCCCAGGCAGACAGGAAAACCGGAUUUGGGCCCAAGUUCCUUUCUC
rnacentral:lncRNA from 1 species